rnacentral:rRNA from 1 species
UGGAGCAUGUGGCUUAAUUCGAAGCAACGCGCAGAACCUUACCAACCCUUGACAUGGGCGUCGCGGACUCAGAGAUGGGUCUUUCAGUUCGGCUGGACGCCACACAGGUGCUGCAUGGCUGUCGUCAGCUCGUGUCGUGAGAUGUUCGGUUAAGUCCGGCAACGAGCGCAACCCACACUCUUAGUUGCCAGCAUUCAGUUGGGCACUCUAGGAGAACUGCCGGUGAUAAGCCGGAGGAAGGUGUGGAUGACGUCAAGUCCUCAUGGCCCUUACGGGUUGGGCUACACACGUGCUACAAUGGUGGUGACAAUGGGUUAAUCCCAAAAAGCCAUCUCAGUUCGGAUUGGGGUCUGCAACUCGACCCCAUGAAGUCGGAAUCGCUAGUAAUCGCGUAACAGCAUGACG